AGUCGAACGGUAACAGGUCUUCGGAUGCUGACGAGUGGCGAACGGGUGAGUAAUACAUCGGAACGUGCCCGAUCGUGGGGGAUAACGAGGCGAAAGCUUUGCUAAUACCGCAUACGAUCUACGGAUGAAAGCGGGGGAUCUUCGGACCUCGCGCGGACGGAGCGGCCGAUGGCAGAUUAGGUAGUUGGUGGGAUAAAAGCCUACCAAGCCGACGAUCUGUAGCUGGUCUGAGAGGAUGAUCAGCCACACUGGGACUGAGACACGGCCCAGACUCCUACGGGAGGCAGCAGUGGGGAAUUUUGGACAAUGGGCGAAAGCCUGAUCCAGCCAUGCCGCGUGCAGGAUGAAGGCCUUCGGGUUGUAAACUGCCUUUGUACGGAACGAAAAGCCUCUUUCUAAUAAAGAGGGGUCAUGGCGGUACCGUAAGAAUAAGCACCGGCUAACUACGUGCCAGCAGCCGCGGUAAUACGUAAGGUGCAAGCGUUAAUCGGAAUUACUGGGCGUAAAGCGUGCGCACG
rnacentral:rRNA from 1 species